rnacentral:rRNA from 1 species
CCCUUAGAGUUUGAUCCUGGCUCAGGACGAACGCUGGCGGCGCGCCUAACACAUGCAAGUCGAACGGAGCUUAGAGAGCUUGCUUUUUAAGCUUAGUGGCGAACGGGUGAGUAACGCGUGAGUAACCUGCCCUAGAGUGGGGGACAACAGUUGGAAACGACUGCUAAUACCGCAUAAGCCCACGGUACCGCAUGGUACUGAGGGAAAAGGAUUUAUUCGCUUUAGGAUGGACUCGCGUCCAAUUAGCUAGUUGGUGAGGUAACGGCCCACCAAGGCGACGAUUGGUAGCCGGACUGAGAGGUUGAACGGCCACAUUGGGACUGAGACACGGCCCAGACUCCUACGGGAGGCAGCAGUGGGGGAUAUUGCACAAUGGGGGAAACCCUGAUGCAGCGACGCCGCGUGGAGGAAGAAGGUUUUCGGAUUGUAAACUCCUGUCGUUAGGGACGAUAAUGACGGUACCUAACAAGAAAGCACCGGCUAACUACGUGCCAGCAGCCGCGGUAAAACGUAGGGUGCAAGCGUUGUCCGGAAUUACUGGGUGUAAAGGGAGCGCAGGCGGGAAGACAAGUUGGAAGUGAAAACCAUGGGCUCAACCCAUGAAUUGCUUUCAAAACUGUUUUUCUUGAGUAGUGCAGAGGUAGAUGGAAUUCCCGGUGUAGCGGUGGAAUGCGUAGAUAUCGGGAGGAACACCAGUGGCGAAGGCGGUCUACUGGGCACCAACUGACGCUGAGGCUCGAAAGCAUGGGUAGCAAACAGGAUUAGAUACCCUGGUAGUCCAUGCCGUAAACGAUGAGUGCUAAGUGUUGGAGGGUUUCCGCCCUUCAGUGCUGCAGCUAACGCAUUAAGCACUCCGCCUGGGGAGUACGGUCGCAAGACUGAAA